GUGCUUGCUUUGGCAGUAUAUAUAUUAAAAUUGGAAUGAUACAGAGAAGAUUAGCAUGGCCCCUGCACAAGGAUGACAUGCAAAGUUGUGAAGUGUUCCAUGUUUGU
rnacentral:snRNA from 1 species